rnacentral:rRNA from 1 species
GAUGAACGCUGGCGGCGUGCCUAAUACAUGCAAGUCGAGCGAACAGACGAGGAGCUUGCUCCUCUGACGUUAGCGGCGGACGGGUGAGUAACACGUGGAUAACCUACCUAUAAGACUGGGAUAACUUCGGGAAACCGGAGCUAAUACCGGAUAAUAUAUUGAACCGCAUGGUUCAAUAGUGAAAGACGGUUUUGCUGUCACUUAUAGAUGGAUCCGCGCCGCAUUAGCUAGUUGGUAAGGUAACGGCUUACCAAGGCAACGAUGCGUAGCCGACCUGAGAGGGUGAUCGGCCACACUGGAACUGAGACACGGUCCAGACGCCUACGGGAGGCAGCAGUAGGGAAUCUUCCGCAGUGGGCGAAAGCCUGACGGAGCAACGCCGCGUGAGUGAUGAAGGUCUUCGGAUCGUAAAACUCUGUUAUUAGGGAAGAACAAAUGUGUAAGUAACUAUGCACGUCUUGACGGUACCUAAUCAGAAAGCCACGGCUAACUACGUG